UACAGAGGGGGCAAGCGUUAUUCGGAAUUAUUGGGCGUAAAGGGCGCGUAGGCGGCUUUUCAAGUGACGGGUGAAAUCCCUCGGCUUAACCGAGGAACUGCCUGUCAGACUGGAAGGCUUGAGACCGGGAGAGGUGAGUGGAAUUCCCAGUGUAGCGGUGAAAUGCGUAGAUAUUGGGAGGAACACCGGUGGCGAAGGCGGCUCUCUGGACCGGUACUGACGCUGAGGCGCGAAAGCUAGGGGAGCAAACGGG
rnacentral:rRNA from 1 species